ACUCGAUGUCAUCAGUACCAUGGAAUGAAGUGAAAUGCUAGCUGGCCAAGAUAGAGGGAUAAGAAAGAGGGGUAAUGUCUUCGCAAUCUUCCAGUAAUUUUCCAGUAUGUUAUUAACCUCAGUCUGUACAGUGUUAUAACAGCAAAACUAGUGUGUUUCAGGAUCACCGUCUCCACUCCGUCAUGUCCGUCUGACCAAUCCUGCAAAUGUACACAAUAUAUUCAACUCAAAUGUCUCUUAAAAUUACCAAAUAAAAGAGCGUCUAUAUGUACUACACUAAAUUAUAGUGGAAUAAAUAUGACAUGUGCA
rnacentral:lncRNA from 1 species